rnacentral:rRNA from 1 species
GUCAUAUGCUUGUCUCAAAGAUUAAGCCAUGCAUGUCUCAGUACAAGCCAAAUUAAGGUGAAACCGCGAAAGGCUCAUUAAAUCAGUUAUGGUUCCUUAGAUCGUACCCACAAUUACUUGGAUAACUGUGGUAAUUCUAGAGCUAAUACAUGCAAACAGAGCUCCGACCGGAGACGGAAGGAGUGCUUUUAUUAGAUCAAAACCAAUCGGUGGCGGGUUCGCGCU